CGGCCGCGAAUUCGCCCUUCGGGGUGCAGCAGGCGCGAAAACUUUACAAUGCGGGAAACUGUGAUAAGGGAACUCCGAGUGCCCGUUAAAUCGGGCUGUUCACCAGUUUAAACAACUGGUGAAGAAAGGGCCGGGCAAGACCGGUGCCAGCCGCCGCGGUAAUACCGGCGGCUCGAGUGGUGGCCACUAUUACUGGGCUUAAAGCGUUCGUAGCUGGUUUGUUAAGUCUCUGGGGAAAUCUACCGGCUUAACCGGUAGGCGUCUCAGGGAUACUGGCAGACUAGGGACCGGGAGAGGUGAGAGGUACUCCAGGGGUAGGAGUGAAAUCCUGUAAUCCUUGGGGGACCACCUGUGGCGAAGGCGUCUCACCAGAACGGCUCCGACAGUGAGGGACGAAAGCUGGGGGAGCAAACCGGAUUAGAUACCCGGGUAGUCCCAGCUGUAAACGAUGCGCGUUAGGUGUAUCGGUGACCACGAGUCACCGAGGUGCCGAAGAGAAAUCGUGAAACGUGCCGCCUGGGAAGUACGGUCGCAAGGCUGAAACUUAAAGGAAUUGGCGGGGGAGCAC
rnacentral:rRNA from 1 species